AAACACUAUCUUUCCUUUGUUCGUCGUGUGCCGCCAUUAACACACUCUGAGAGUGUAAAAAUUUCAUCUCGAAACCAACCAGUUUCACCUAAAAAUUAAUCUGAGUUUGAAUUCAAAUUUGUUCAAUUUUAGCUGGGCUAUGUAUUCUGUUAGUUAUGUGGAUCGUUUGACCUAAAAUUUGAACGAUGAAGAUGAAGAAGAUGGUUGAGACUUGAUUCGGCUGAUAAUAAAUUACGUUGGUUCAAUAUUUUUAUUUGACUAGAGAACUGCUCAAGCACAGAACUUUAAAAAUUGAAGGUCCUCGGGAGACAAGGGGCAUUUCUAAAUAAAAAUGAGUGGGGGAUAGGAAGGAAAAACUUACAAAACUACUGGAUUGGAAUGGCUUGGAGAUGACAAAGGCAUACAUGCUUGAUACACGAGGCCGUGCAGUCAAAAUACAAAAAAUCGGAAAAGACUGCUCCUUUUGGUUGGGAGUGAGAGUUUGAGAUAGUUUUGAUGUGGUGCAUGGAAAUGGUAACUGGUGUUGGGUUUUGGUUUGUUUGUUGUUGCAGAAAGUUGUCAUUGAUGGUGGUAGUUUGUAGACAAAUUGAGUAGCAGUUAAAUGGGAACUGAUGUGUAGGGAUUCAGAGAAGCAAUUUGGCUAUGGCAUGUGCCAAUGGACUAGGCCAAGGCCAUUGAACCGAGUCAGAGCAGCUGAGUCAGUAACUGACUCAAGCUCCAUACCGUUAGUUUAACCAGUGAUCGCCUAAUUUUUUUCUGGUUACCGGAAGAUGAUUUCCGGUAACUUUUCCGGCCAACUUCCAGUAACUCAACUUAUAUUAGCUUUUUCUCCUUUAGUUGGAAAAACGAGUCAGAGAAGAGCAUUUAUUUUUUUUACCAUUUGUCAACAUUUAUGAGAAAGUUAAAGAUAAAUUAGCAACAAUAAAAUUAUUUUGUGUUCUAA